UACAGAGGGGGCGAGCGUUAAGCGGAAUUACUGGGCGUAAAGCGCACGUAGGUGGCGACGUAAGUCGGGUGUGAAAGCCCCGGGCUCAACCUGGGAAUUGCAUUCGAGACUGCAUUGCUGGAGUACGGAAGAGGAGGGCGGAAUUCCCGGUGUAGCGGUGAAAUGCGUAGAUAUCGGGAGGAACAUCAGUGGCGAAGGCGGCCCUCUGGUCCAGUACUGACACUCAAGUGAGAAAGCGUGGGGAGCAAACAGG
rnacentral:rRNA from 1 species